CUUCAAGGGACCCACAGGGAUGUUGCUCAAGCAGCUCCUAUUGGCUGCAGCGCGCUCCAAGGAUGAGGCCGCGCAACAUUGCUGUUUCUCCUAACAGCUUCUUAAGCUUUAUAUGGAUCUCUGUUGUCGAAGACUUUCAUAAUCAGAAUCACUGGAUUGCUAUGAGUUUUCCGGGAUAUAUGGCCAUGUUCCAGAAGCAUUCUCUCCUGACGUUUCGACCAUAUGGCAGGCAUCCUCAGAGGUUCUGAGAUCUGUUGGAAACUAGACAAGGGAGGUUUAUAUAUUUGUGGAAGGUCCAGCGUGGGAGAAAGAACUCUGUUUGAGGAAAAUGGGAAUGUUGCAAUUGAUCAUCUUGAUUAGCAUUUAAUGGCCUUACAGAUUGAAAGCCGGAGGGAACCUUUUGUUUGGAGGUGUUAGCUUUUUUUUUCAUGUCAGGAGCAGGGCCAUCUGCAAGGACGUUACCCAGGGGACGCCUGGAUGUCUUUACCAUCCCUGUGGGAGGCUUCUCUCAUGUCCGCUUCUCUCAUGGCGCUGGAGCUGAUAGAGGGAGCUCAUCCGCGCUCUUCCCAGGUGGGAUUCGAACCUGGCAGCCUUCAGGUCAGCAAACCAACCUUCAAGUCACAAGGCCUUUAUCCCCUAGGCCAUCAGGGGCUCCUGGAGGUGUUAGCUGAUCCUGAUUGUUUCAUUCCUGGAAUUCCCGUUUUCAUGGCGUUGGUCUUUAUUUACUGUCCUGAUUUUAGAGUGUUUUAAUACUAGUAGCCACAUUGUGUAUUUCCAUGGUUUCCUCCCUUCUUUUCUGUUGAAAUGCUUGUGAACCAUUUGAUGAACCAACCUGGACACAGUGUAUUAUUUGAGAAGACAGAAAUGCUGGACCACUCUUAACAACGACCAUGUUGGACUACACAGAGAAGCCACUGAAAUCCACAAGCAAGUCUCCUGCAUGUAGAAAGGGUCAUUUUUAACACUGAUGCAAUUAGCAUAUGGGAUUAACAGCAAAAUGUUGCUGCAGCACCACCCGUUCUCCCUGAUCUUCCCCAUCCCAUGCCUUUAUGGGACUGUCUUUACAAUAUUACAAUUCUAAAAACUGCAGCUCCUAGAGAGUUGCAUAAAAGCUCAAUAGAUUAGUAUUACAUAGACAGAAAAUGAAAUAAUUUGCUGAAUAACACUCUGGCAUGCAGGUAAAUUAACCUUUACCUCUAUUUCUCCAAUUAACGUGUUUGUCCCUCACCACUAACUUACAGUUUUUCUAUGAAGUCUCUUUAGACUUCCUUGUUCUUUUAUUGAUUCUCCUUCAAGGAAGUCUUACUGACAUUUUAACAUAAUGGUCAGUAUCUAACCAUGACAUUUUUCUAAUGCAAAUACCACAUUCCUAUGGGAAACCUAGCUGAAGACUAAGAGUGGACUGUGGCCAAAAAAUGUUUAAAGACUACAUGUACUGCAACACAUUUAAAAAGGUGAUAAUGGACAGCUGGAAGCUUCUACGAGAACAGUUUCUUUUGUUAGUAAGGGCUUCUUUGGGGCUCAGAAUCUCAUAAUUUCCAUUUGUUCUAGACCAGGGGUACCCAAACUAAGGCCUGUGGGCCAAAUGCCUUCCUCCAAGCUUAUUUACUCACCCUAAACUUUAGACUUAGAGUUGCCCGAAGUCUGAAACAACUUGAAGGCACACAGCAACAAUCCUAAUUAACCUGUCUAUCUCAUCAGCCAAAAGAAGGCCCACACUUCCCAUUGAAAUACUGUCCUGGCCCUCAGCAGUCUACGGAACCGUGAACCUGCCCUCAGCUUAAAAAGUUUGAGGACCAUUGUUCUAUACCAUGGGUAAACAGGACUCCAACAAAAUGCACAUUCAGCAUUGGGAUAUUUCUUUCUAAACCAUUUAUGCACAGGAAUUCUCUUACUGGCACAGAAAUUGUGGUUCCUACAAACAGGUAAAAAGGUUUGUAUUGCACUAUGGUUACACAGCUGGAAAAUCCGGAAGAAUUCUGCCAUUGUAUUGAGGCAUAGUUCACAUGUUUCGAAUGAUCUCUGUUGCCAUCCCUAUUUCAAUCUUUUCACCUCUUACAAACUUUUUAAAGUUUUAAACUUGAGAAAUCAAAGUGCAUCCCCCAAGGGUAAUAAAAUAUAAACAUUGAUUGCCCUCAAGUGCUUUCUGGGGGUUGUGUGGGCACAUUGGCACUACUUGCCCCCUCCCUCCGGUACAAUUUAGACUCAGGAGGACCCUUUUAAAACCAGUUCCAUUCUUCUGCAAGACUAGACUGGUCCAAGAGCCCCAAAACAUGCUAAAAUGCCCUCACAUUUCCUAGAGAACGUUUCCUAGAGACAUUUGGAGAGCAACAUUCUUUUUCUCCCUCUUUUCUUACAGAUAGGACACUUUAAAGACAUUCUAACAAGUUACUUUAUAGCAGUUCCCAGCCUUGUAGUUAUCAUGCUAUUUCAAACUUGUAUAGCACAGUACCAGCUGACUUUGAGUUUAAUCACUAAUUUGAACUUGAGAAAUUACUACAAUAAUAUCUCAUGAGAAAACUAUGAAGAAAUAGCCAUGAAGUUAAAAUAAGUGACAUAUAUAGGACAGACAACACAUUUACUACUGCACUUAAAAAGACUUGGCAACAGUUCAAUAGCACAUCAAAUUCAACUACUAAAAAUAUUUUUCACAAUUACAUGAAAGGUUUUUUCACACUUAAUUCAAAGUUAAAUGACAAAAUACACCGUAUCAAAAUCCUAAAUUUUGUAGGUAGUCUUGAUGACAAAUAUUUAAUAUGGGAAUAUAGAAAAAUAGAAAACCAAAGAAGUAACCAGAUCAGCUCUGAUGUAAAUCAAAUACUUUUUUAAACAUUCACAGUCUUUUAAUAGCAUUCACAGGUGCAAUGAACAAUUAAAAUACAUAUGUUUAUUCUGCAGAAUAAAAUUGAUAUAAAGAAAUAUGCUGUCACCACCUUGGACAGUUCUCUGAUAUCAAUACUCCCAAGCAUGUAGUCAUAAAAAACAGCAGAAUCCAAAAGGCAUGAGGUGACAAAAUUGCUUAGAGAUCUUGCAGAGUUAUGAACUCACACCAGCAUUUUAGGGUCAUGUGCUAUGAUCUGACAUUGAUGUUUCUAACAUCAUAUCACUUUCAUUCAUUUCAAUCUCAAAAGUUUCAUCCAACGGAUGAGGUGCUUCUGUAGAUUUCCUCUGAUGUGAUGAUUCCAGGGCCAUGACGUUACUUUCUUCCAGAGUUUGCCUUUCUAUAUCUAACUCCAAGACAUCCCAUGCAGGUGAAAUUAUGUUCUUUAAAGUCUUCAUAGUAUGCACAUCAAAGUCAUAGCAGCGUAAUUUAUCCUUAAUGGCGGUUCCUAAAAGAAACUUUCUAGAUUAAUUUUCCAAUGAAAUGAGUAAUUUCUGCCACAGAAUGGUUCUCUAAGAACAACUGCAAGAACAACUUUCUGUCCAGUCCUCUGGAUAUUUAGAGACAAUGACCGCAAUUUCCUAUAGCAAUCUAUGUAGUUUAACUUUACUUAUACUUAGUAAUGUAGCAGAUCUGCUAAGAAAAUCUGUUAGGGAAUUGUGGAGAUGUAUAAUAUAUUGGGACAUCAACAAGAGUCCUUGAUGCACAUUAAUGCUCAAUGGACCUUGAUCAUCAGCCCAAUUACACAUUGGCCUCAAUGCAUAUUGGCCCAGGUGUACAUCGGUCUCUGCUGGCUUCCCAGAGUAACGUUACAGCAGUCCUUUAAUGAAUACAGAUAUUGAGAAAUUGCUCAAUUCUAUUUCCCAUAGAUGUUAAGUCCACUUAUGUAGAUGUAAGUUCCCAAAUGAAUCCCAGCUAGUAUUUAUUGUCUAGUUCACUGCUUUUUAAACUGUGGGUCCCGAUCUCAAAUGGGUCCUCCUCAGCUCAAUGUUGCGAUUGCAAAAGAUUUGGCAACAGUGAAAGGUUUCUGAAUGCCACCCAUUUAUACAACUCUGUUAGUGUUUACAACAGUGGACUCUGCAGAAAUGCUUCGGAGCUGUACUUCAUAAAAAAGAAAAUCAUCCUGUCUUGCAAAUGCUGGUUUAUUAUCAGCAUAUGUUUGAUUUUCAUAACUAUUUUACAUACCUAUAUACCUUGGGUCAUGCAAAAAAAUUAUCAGGCGGAAAGGGGACGUGAGUAGAAAACGUUCAAAAAGCCCUGGUCUAGUUCACUACUAUAAGCCAGUAGUGAACCCCAUACUGCAAAACUGCUUUACUUCUAAAGUACAGUAUUACAUUGUUCAACAGUCUGCAGCUCUAACAUCACCUCUAAGCACCAUCUCUUCUGAGCAAUAAAGAUAAUGUAAUACUC